rnacentral:rRNA from 1 species
GACAGAGGGUGCAAACGUUGUUCGGAUUUACUGGGCGUAAAGCGCGCGUAGGCGGCUUGUCAAGUCAGGGGUGAAAUCCCACAGCUCAACUGUGGAAUUGCCUUUGAAACUGUCAAGCUAGAGUGUCGGAGGGGAUAGCGGAAUUGCUAAUGUAGAGGUGAAAUUCGUAGAUAUUAGCAGGAACACCGGUGGCGAAGGCGGCUAUCUGGACGACAACUGACGCUGAGGCGCGAAAGCGUGGGGAUCAAACAGG